rnacentral:rRNA from 1 species
GAUACCCUAUUAUUUUAAAUGUAAUUUUUAAAACUAAAAUUAUUAUUAGUUAAGAUCUUUAAAAUUAAAAAUUUUGGCGGUAUUUUAGUCUUUUCAGAGGAACCUGUUUAUUAAUUGAUAUUCCACGAUUAAAUUUACUUUAAUUUUAAAUUUAUAUAUCGUCGUUUAUAAAGAUUUUAUUAGAAUUUAAAUUUUUAAUAUUUUUUAUUUAAUAUUAAUUCAGAUCAAGGUGUAGUUUAUAUUGAAGUAUUAAUGGGUUACAUUAAAUUUAUUUUUGGUUUUGAAAUUGGAAAUUUUGAAUAAAUUGGAUUUGAAAGUAAUUAUUAUAUCUUUAUAUUUUGAUUUAGCUCUAAAAUAUGUACACAUCGCC